rnacentral:rRNA from 1 species
GACGAACCGUGCGAACGUUGUUCGGAAUCACUGGGCUUAAAGGGUGCGUAGGCGGGCUGCCAAGUCAGGGGUGAAAUCGUUCGGCCCAACCGGACAAGGGCCCCUGAUACUGGUGGCCUCGAGGGAGGUAGGGUCGAUGGAACUUCCGGUGGAGCGGUGAAAUGCGUAGAUAUCGGAAGGAACACCAGUGGCGAAGGCGGGCAUCUGGGCCAACACUGACGCUGAGGCGCGAAAGCUAGGGGAGCAAACAGGG